CCGAGUUUACAACUCCCAAACCCCUGUGAACAUACCACUUGUUGCCUCGGCGGAUCCGCCCGCUCCCGGUAAAACGGGACGGCCCGCCAGAGGACCCCUAAACUCUGUUUCUAUAUGUAACUUCUGAGUAAAACCAUAAAUAAAUCA
rnacentral:misc_RNA from 1 species